GGGGCAGACAGCUCCAGGUGCUGGAGGCUGCCGCGCGGAGAGGUCCGCCCAGCCAGGAUGUGCGUUGUCCUGAGAAUCGAAUUACCCGGAACCCCAGAGCUCACCCUCUCUGAAGGAGAGCAGGUGCCUCCUGAGAGCAGGGCUUCUCUACCUUGGGGCACUAUGAACAUUCUGAGUGGGUGCCCACUUUGUUCAUCUCUGCUCACUGGGGGAGCCAGGACACGGAUCCAGGUUUUCUGACUCCAGGUAGGCACCCAAAUCAAGACUCAGAUUUCCUCAUCUCAGAAGUUGUCCACUUCUUCUCCGACCUCCACGGUAACUCGGAACCACACCGUGGAGUUAUCCCUGUGUCCUCUUUCUCGGAAGUUCCACAUCCAACCCCUCAGCAGGUCUCAGCGGCACUCUCACCACCUCCUCUGCUCUGUUCCUGUUUCUCUUGGAUGGUCGAAUGUUUCCUAAGGAGUGUCUGCUGCUUCACGCUUGCCCCCUGGAGUGGCAUCUAAAAGGAUACCCUACAACUAACAGGCAUGAUGCCAUCAAGACAUCUUGAGCCUGGCUACCUCCCGUGGCCUGUAUUUUGUCCACAGGAAACUCGCGCAGUCUCACUACAGCAAAUUGAGGUGGUAUGGGGUGCCUGCUGCUGCCUCUCUCUUCACCUUUCCACAGAGGGCUGCCCCAGCCUGACUCCCACUUCCAGAGUUUCUCCAGCCAGGAGAAUCCUGAAAUCUCUGUAAAUAAGCAAUCCAGGAGCCAGAGAAUCAUGGGAUCUCAUAUAAACAAAUCAUCAAGGAAAAACACAGCCAGAGUCUCCAUUUGGUAAACCUCCGUGACUGGGGAUCCCCGGCCACCCAGAAAGCAGUAUUGCCUGCCAUGCAUGUCAUCACUGAUUUUUACUGCUGCAGCAGACUCCGUCAGACCUGCCUGCUGCUUCAGCGAAUUGUUCAGUGCACACCACCAGCUACCUGCUGUAAGCAUUCACACUCCUCUACCUGCCUGGCAGCAUUUCUCAGCUGAACACAGGCCAGGCCAGAAGUGCCAGGGAUUUAAUGCCCUUAGAAGUAGCUCUCUACCAAUGACAAAUGGAGCUGGUGGAUACAUUCUCAGCUUCCUCCCCUCUCAGGUGGAACAGCCCUGAGAUGUGCUCUAUGCAAUCUCCCACAAGUCCCCAGCAGGCUCAAGCUCCCAUUGUCCAACCCUGGUAACCUGCUCAUUGACACCCCUGUCUUGCCUUCCCUUCCUGGCCUCACUUUCUCACUCUCUUACUGUUGCCUCCUGAGAUCGCAUCCAAAAUAAAUGACCUGCACCCA
rnacentral:lncRNA from 1 species